rnacentral:lncRNA from 1 species
AGAUGUAAACUAUUGCUCUAAAAGAUGCUGUGCUCUUGGACUCUAAAUUGCAGGAGCAUUGGGAGCGCCAUUUUUGUUGGAAGACCCUGCAAACCAGUUCCUACGUCUCAAAAGACAUGUAAAUUUGCAGGAUUACUGGGACCCAGAUCACAGUUCAGAUGUGUGGGUAAACACACUGGCUAAGCAGGCUCGUGAAACAUGGAUUGCUUUGAAAACAACAGCACAGUAUUAUUUGGAUAUGAAUACCUUCACCUUUGACAUGUCUACUGCCCAGUAAAUAUGUUUUCCUGGUUAAAGCAGGAGGAUGAAGAUGGCAGAGGUUGGAAUGGCAUUGUGCCAAAACCAUGGGUUUUAGAGAUCUGAGGGUAUAUCCAUGCUGUUUACUACAUUAUUUAUUAUGUCUGUCUCAAAGUUGUUGAAAACAGUAGUUAUGAAAACCCAUGUAGGAAACUGGAAUAAGACAUUCUCAAUAAAUGGUAGUUCUCAAAAAAAGAACUAAAAAA